GAUGAACGCUGGCGGCGUGCCUAAUACAUGCAAGUCGAGCGAACAGACGAGGAGCUUGCUCCUCUGACGUUAGCGGCGGACGGGUGAGUAACACGUGGAUAACCUACCUAUAAGACUGGGAUAACUUCGGGAAACCGGAGCUAAUACCGGAUAAUAUAUUGAACCGCAUGGUUCAAUAGUGAAAGACGGUUUUGCUGUCACUUAUAGAUGGAUCCGCGCCGCAUUAGCUAGUUGGUAAGGUAACGGCUUACCAAGGCGACGAUGCGUAGCCGACCUGAGAGGGUGAUCGGCCACACUGGAACUGAGACACGGUCCAGACUCCUACGGGAGGCAGCAGUAGGGAAUCUUCCGCAAUGGGCGAAAGCCUGACGGAGCAACGCCGCGUGAGUGAUGAAGGUCUUCGGGUCGUAAAACUCUGUUAUUAGGGAAGAACAAAUGUGUAAGUAACUAUGCACGUCUUGACGGUACCUAAUCAGAAAGCAACGGCUAACUACGUG
rnacentral:rRNA from 1 species